rnacentral:rRNA from 1 species
UACGUAGGUGGCAAGCGUUGUCCGGAUUUACUGGGCGUAAAGAGCGCGCAGGCGGUCGUUCAAGUCGCGUGUGAAAGCCCCCGGCUCAACUGGGGAGGGUCACGCGAUACUGAUCGACUCGAAGGCAGGAGAGGGAAGUGGAAUUCCCGGUGUAGUGGUGAAAUGCGUAGAUAUCGGGAGGAACACCAGUGGCGAAGGCGACUUCCUGGCCUGUUCUUGACGCUGAGGCGCGAAAGUUAGGGGAGCAAACGGG